UGAUCCCAGUUUUUGUGUUUGGGAAUAUGACAACUUCUUUGUCAUUCCAAUCAAACCAAGAGAAUCGCGAUGUAAGAAGUUUGAUUUUGAUACAUAAAGUAGUGGAGAAUCACUAGGAAGUUGAAUAAAUCUCAUAGGAGAUAGGAUGAAGAAACUAUCCCAAUUUCAAAUCGGGUGGUCCCAGUUUUUGUGUUUGCGAAUAUGAUAACUUCUUUGUCAUUCUAAUCAAACCAAGAUGAAUCGUGAUGUAAGAAGCUUGAUUUUGAUACCUAAAGUAGUGGAGAAUCACCAGGUAGUCGAAGAAAUAUCAUCGGAGUUAGAAUGAAGAAGCUAUCCCACUUUCAAAUCAAUCGAUCCCAGUUUUCCUGUUUGGGAAUAUGACAACUUCUGUGUCAUUCUAUCAAACCAGUAUGAAUCGUUAUGUAAAAAGUUUGAUUUUGAUACAUAAAGUAGUGGAGAAUCACUAGUAAGUUGAAUAAAUCUCAUAGGAGUUAGGAUGAAGAAGCUAUCCCACUUU